rnacentral:lncRNA from 1 species
GUCUGGGAUAAGAAAAUCCUUAGUUUUUCGAAAAAUUCGAAGUUUUGUAAACAGGAAAUUUAUAAAAAUGACCACAACAUUGAUAUUCAUGUCAAAACUUUAAACAUCCUAGUUUUUGCUUGAAUAUGUUUGACGGAUGCAAAGCUUCAAUUAUGGUGUCAUUUAUUAGUUAACUUUGGUAUUGGUUAACGUCUGAUAGGUUUAUAUAAAAUCGAAAGGAAUAUAUCUGUUUUUCUUAACCAGAAUACAGGUGUUGCGGUUAAGUAAAAGUUAUAUAUAUAUACUUCCCUAUUUUAAACUUGAACUUGCUACUUACUAACUGAAAAAGACAGAAUUAUAGCAUUAGUUUAUUUUAACAAUCAUUUAUACAUUUGCAUUUGUUCUUCAUUUGUAUAUAU